AUACAUUCUAUGCCGGACUCCCGGAGUUAAAAAAAAAACCGGGAGUCCCGUGCCGAGGCCUCCUGCGUCAGUGCAGGGGGCUGAAGCACGCCAUUCACCCCAAAACUGGGGUGGAUGGGGCAUAUAAUUUUUGUUAGUGGGGCUUGGCGAGCGCGCCAGGCCCCU